GAUGAACGCUGGCGGCGUGCCUAAUACAUGCAAGUCGAGCGAACGGACGAGAAGCUUGCUUCUCUGAUGUUAGCGGCGGACGGGUGAGUAACACGUGGAUAACCUACCUAUAAGACUGGGAUAACUUCGGGAAACCGGAGCUAAUACCGGAUAAUAUUUUGAACCGCAUGGUUCAAAAGUGAAAGACGGUCUUGCUGUCACUUAUAGAUGGAUCCGCGCUGCAUUAGCUAGUUGGUAAGGUAACGGCUUACCAAGGCAACGAUGCAUAGCCGACCUGAGAGGGUGAUCGGCCACACUGGAACUGAGACACGGUCCAGACUCCUACGGGAGGCAGCAGUAUGGAAUCUUCCGCAAUGGGCGAAAGCCUGACGGAGCAACGCCGCGUGAGUGAUGAAGGUCUUCGGAUCGUAAAACUCUGUUAUUAGGGAAGAACAUAUGUGUAAGUAACUGUGCACAUCUUGACGGUACCUAAUCAGAAAGCCACGGCUAACUACGCG
rnacentral:rRNA from 1 species